CUUCAGCCUAGGGCCAUUCCUUGUAUGUUUAUUAGUUAUCCCUUUGGGAAGAAAGCCUAUAAGUUGUAUGACUUACAGAAUAAAACCUGUUUUAUCUCCAGAGAUGUUAUAUUUCAUGAACAUAUAUUCCCUUUUAUUCAAUCUGGAUCUACUUCCCCUACUAUGUCAAAUUUAUCAUUUUUUGCCUGUUUUGAUCACUCUGUUAAGCAGAAUUCUUCACUGUUCCAUGAUUCCUUUUACCCUGCCCCAUCAGUUACAUCUCCUGUUUCUCCUUAUCCCUCCAACUCUGCUCCUCAUGACUCUGAAAUAUCUCUGAACAGCUCUCCUGCUCCUCCUAAUCUUCCUUCUUCUUCUAUAAAUCUGAAUUCCCUCCUUUAAGGAGAUCAUCUAGAUCUCACAAUCCUCCUUCUUAUCUGCAGAAUUAUGUCUGCACUUUACCUAAUCAUAACUCUAGGUCUGCCAAUUCAACUGUUAUGUCUACUUCUAGUGAGCAUCAUGCAUUUGAGCCUGCUACUUAUUCUCAGGCAGCAGCUAUCCCUGAGUGGCAGAAUGUUAUGAGAAAAGAGUUUGAGGCAUUGGAGACUAAUGGUACUUGGGACAUAGUUGAGUUACCCAAGGGCAAGAAGCCAAUUGGCUGCAAAUAGGUAUACAAAAUUAAAUACAAAGCUGAUGGGAGCAUAGAAAGAUAUAAAGCUAGGCUUGUGGUAAGGGGUGAUACGCAGGUUGAAGGCAUUGAUUUUCAUGAAACCUUCUCACCUAUAAUUAAAAUGUCUACUAUUAAAACUUUAAUUACUGUAGUUGUUAAAAGACAAUGGCCUAUAUUCCAACUAGAUGUUAAUAAUACUUUCUUGCAUGGGGACUUAGAUGAAAAAGUUUUUAUGAAGCUUCCACCUGGUCUUUCUGUAUGUAUUGUACCCCCUGCUUCUACUUCCACUCCUUUGGUCUGUAAACUCAAAAAAUCUUUGUAUGGAUUGAGACAAGCUUCAAGGCAAUGGUAUGCCAAGUUGUCUCAAUCUUUGUCUUCUAGAGGCUAUGAACACUUCUUUAAUGACUAUUCACUUUUCACCAAAGGUUCUGGUGAUGCUUUGGUACUCUUAGUAGUGUAUGUUGAUGACAUUAUCAUCACUGGGACAUGUCUGUGUGAGAUUGCUGCUGUGAAAACCUUCUUCCAUGAUCAAUUUAAAAUUAAGGAUUUAUGCCAUCUUAACUAUUUUCUGGGUAUUGAAGAGAUGCAUUCUGAGGGUGGAGUGUUACUGCACCAGAAAAAGUUUGUGUAUGAUCUCCUCAAAGAGUUCCAUUCCUAUGAUUAUUCUUAAGUGAUAUCCCCUCUUGAGAUGAAUGACAAGUUGCAGGCUGCUCAUGGUGAUCCCCUGCCCAAUCCUGAGACAUAUAGGUGUUUAGUGGGUAAGCUCAACUUCUUAACCCACACCAGACUUGACAUUUGUUUUGCAGCGCAACAUUUAAGUCAGUUUAUGCAGAAGCCUUGCCUUCCUUACUUGCAGGCUGCUUUAUGUUUGCUCAGGUAUCUCAAGGGUACUAUUGAUUUUGGGAUUUUCUAUAAUAAUUCUCCUGAUCUUUCUCUCAGUGUCUAUUGUGAUAGUGAUUGGAGAUCUUGCCCGGAUAGUAGAAAGUCCAUCAGUGGAUUUUUCAUUUUAUUAGGGGGAUGUCUAGUAGGCUGGAAGUCAAAGAAACAAUUUGUGGUCUCCUUGUCCUCUGCAGAAGCUGCAUAUAGCUAGGCAGCCAUCCACAUUGCUAAGAAUCCUGUCUUCCAUGAGCGCACCAAGCACAUUGAAUUGGACUGCCAUUUUGUUCGCACCAAGUUGCAUGAGGGUCUGCUUCAGCUGCUUCACACUUCCAGUGCCAAUUACCUCGCUGAUAUGUUCACUAAACCUUUGGGGGGAGUUGUCCAUCAUCUGCAUCUUUGCAAGUUGGGGGUUAUCUCACCCUCCAACUUGUCGGGGGGUGUUGAGAUACAAGCAAAUGCAAAUGCUGUUACUUAGCCACUUGGGCACUUGGGAUUCUUUUCUUCUUUUAUCUUCUUUCUCUCAUUAUUGGGCCCAGAAACCCACUAUGUAUUUAUCUUAGGCAUUGUAAUUAGUUGAGUUGUGUAUAUAAAGACCGAGUCAGCCCAUCUCAUCGGGUAAGAAGGAAAAUAAAGAUUGUAUAGACUCUUUCUGAUUCUCUCAGUGAAAUACAAGGAAAACCUAGAAGCUUCCAUUUUUCUCUCAA